rnacentral:misc_RNA from 1 species
UGCAAAAGAAAUAUAUUUAAUUUUUUUUUCUCUCCUCGUUAAAAUUUUACAUUUUUUUUUUUACAUUAGCUGAAAACAAAGACGAAGACAUGAAUGAAACAAGGAGUGGCAGGUUGCAACUUUGCUCUAUACAGAACUUACAGAAAGCAUAAACUACAGUAGUCUACUAAGACUAAUCCUUUCUGAAGGCCGUGGAUGCAUCAUUUUGGAGUAACAGUCUUGGCUGCUGGAACUGUUUCCUCCAAUGUUUUCAACAAGCUUACGUCCCUCUUGGGUGCCUCAGCUUCCAUCUGAAAUCCAUUUUGUUGCAUCCCAUUGGAAGGAGAUGAUCUGUUUUCUACUUCAGUGUCGUAAGAUUCUACAAACUCCUGAAAAUGAACUUCCAAACUAAAGAAAUCUUCACCAGCAUCAAAAUCAAAU